rnacentral:rRNA from 1 species
GACCUGAGAUCAGACAAGGACACCCGCUGAACUUAAGCAUAUCAAUAAGCGGAGGAAAAGAAACUAACCAGGAUUCCCCUAGUAGCGGCGAGCGAACCGGGAAGAGCCCAGCUUGUGAAUCUCCGGCUUUCAGUCGGCGAGUUGUAGUCUUGAGAAGGGUCCUCUGUGACGGGCGGCGCUCAAUUCCCUUGGAAAAGGGAGUCAGAGAGGGUGAGAACCCCGUCGGCGCUUGCUGCGGUUACUCCACGAGGCCCAUUCGGCGAGUCGGGUUGUUUGGGAAUGCAGCCCUAAACGGAUGGUAAAUCCCAUCUAAGGCUAAAUAUGGACGGGAGACCGAUAGCG